rnacentral:lncRNA from 1 species
GUUGUUCAGUGGGUGAGGAUGCUGGUUACAGUAAAUGGAAAGAGAGGGCUCAUGGGUAGGUGUCAGCAAGAUCCAGGAGAGAGAGCGAAAGAAAGAGAGAGACCAGAGUCCAGACUCAGACUGUUUUAACGCUCUUGGUUCAACCGCCAGAUGACGGAAAGACAAAUAAAACAGUUAUGAGCUGAACAUACCAGAAUGCCAGUGGAAGGGAGGACAGUAGCAGGUGACCCAACUGUGGUUUGUGACUACUAGGAUUUCCCAUUGUAACCAAUUCAGUUGCAGUAAUUCCAUUACAGAUUUGAUAACGAAAUUACGACUUUUACUAUGACUAUAACUAACUGAUAGAUCUACCAUUACUUGUUACUUCUGUGCACUUUCAUUAUCCUCCAACCUUUGUAGCUCAGUUAGUAGAGCAUGACACUUGUAAUGCCAGAGUAAUGGGUUUGAUUCCCAGGACCACCCAUACAUAAUAUGUAUGCACGCUUGACAGUAAGUCGCUUUAGAUAAAAGUGUCUGCAAAAUUAUUAUUAUCUCAUGAGGAAAAGAAAUGAGAAAAUAUGUUAAAGAUACGUGGGUUUUUGCUAACGGAAGGCACAAGGCAAUAUUUCUAAAAACGUACAGAAGGUAAACAAUUUGUAAAUACAAGUGUUGAUAUUAGUCGGCAGGGGUCUUUACGUCAACAUUAUUGUGUUUUGAUGUAUUUCUGAUCACUUCUGGUAGAUGUUUUUCUAACACCCCUUUUCCAUCUGUUUAUCCAGAAAUCAAAUCCUUUACUUAUGCAGCAUUUUUAAGACGGAAAAUGGUUGAAACAUGUAUCUAUUCCUUCAAUUCUCCAAAAUAUAGACUCUUAGCUUUCAUUUGACACCCAAUUUGAUAUGCUCCUAUGGACUUCACAUGUUGGUGCUCAAGGGUUAUUUUACAUGGAAAUGAGCUAUACACUUACACACAUACCGUACAUAGGAUUAUUUCCUUAAAUGUGUGUGUGUGUGUGUGUGUGUGUGUGUGUGUGUGUGUGUGUGUGUGUGUGUGUGUGUGUGUGUGUGUGUGUGUGUGUGUGUGUGUGAGAGAGAUAGAGAGACAAGAGAGGUGUGUGUGUGUGUGUGUGUGUGUGUGUGUGUGUGUGUGUGUGAGAGAGAGAGAGAGGGAG